GGCAAUAUAGUUUAAAACAAACAUUAGACUGACUAAAAAAAUAGGAGUGUAAAUCCCCUUAUAGACC
rnacentral:tRNA from 1 species